ACCUUCUUCUCAAACGAACCUCAUUUUCUUUCCUCCUUCCUUGCUUUCCUGAUGUCUCUUUUAAACCCAACGACCAUCCUAACCAUUCCUUUAAAGAACGAACAGCCCAUUCCCCAUUGUUGGUCUUAAGUUUCGAUCCUUUCUUGAGUAUUCGAAGGAAAAAUCAAACAUGGCUCUUCUUUAGUAUGUCUGAUUUCAAACAAACCCUCAUCGUUCCCUUGAACCCGCCGAGGAAGGGGCAGCAGUCACAACCUUCGAUUCCUUGUCCUUUUCCGGGAACAAACACAAUCACAGCCGCCUUGUUCUCCUCUCCUCUGGGUUUCGGUUCUAUAGCCCUCAGUCUCCUCUUCAAAUUCUGCUGCUCGUGACCCAAAUUACAACAAUUUCUGAGAUAAGGUGAAGCAGCAAGGCUCGUGGUUUCCUAUUCAUUUCAUUGCUUUGGCCGCCGGUUCUUUUGGGUUGUUGGAGGAGGCAUCAUCUAUUGAUGGCAAACUUUAUCAGCCUAGUGACGUUCACGAUUGGUAAUCGAGUGCGUAUGUCGAGAUUGUCUACAGAAUGGAACCGGUCGGGAACGAUGGGUUAGCGGUGAUGAUUGGAGUUACAUGGAUGUUAAGUUGAGAUGAGUACGUGAGAAGUUAUAGCUUUGUAUCAGGUUUUGUUAAAUGUAUAUUGGACUAGAUUGUAUUGGUUAUGUUGGACUUUUGUAGUGACUUUUAUGAUUACUUUGUGUUUUCGUUAGAUGUUUGGAUUAAGAAUUAGCUAAUACAGCUAUGUCAUA